rnacentral:rRNA from 1 species
UACGUAGGGACCAAGCGUUGUUCGGAUUUACUGGGCGUAAAGGGCGCGUAGGCGGCGUGUUAAGUCAGCUGUGAAAUCUCCAAGCUUAACUUGGAACGGUCAGCUGAUACUGAUGUGCUAAAGUGCAGAAGGGGCAACCGGAAUUCUUGGUGUAGCGGUGAAAUGCGUAGAUAUCAAGAGGAACACCUGAGGUGAAGACGGGUUGCUGGGCCGACACUGACGCUGAGGCGCGAAAGCCAGGGGAGCGAACGGG